AGAUUUUGUUUUUAAUAAUAUUUAAUAAUUUUUUAAUAUAUUUUUUUUUUUUUUUGCUCGUGGCAGCUGCCCCCACCAUCUUAGCUGUGGGUCCGCCCCUGGUCCCCCGCUUUCUAAGGCCAAACACUUUCUUCUUUUCACCCUAACACACAUUUACACGCAUGCAUACAUUUUUACACCCUAUGACGUAACCAAAUCGUUUCACCAUAUAUAUAUCCAAUUUACUCAAAAAUAUAAAAAAAAUAGAAAAACAGAUUUUGUCAUGUCAGAGUUAACAGCUAGUCUUGAAACUUGAAUAUUCCGAUAUCAUGUAAACAGUAAGAUAGUUCUUCUAUUAUAAUAUUAACAGAAACACAUAGUUCUACUACAAUAUCUUCUAAAGUUAGGUUUAACAAAAAAAAAAA
rnacentral:lncRNA from 1 species